CUAUCCACUCUGCACAAUGGAAAAUUUUCUUGUUUUUAACAAAUGUGUUUUUAAACAUUUUCUUUAACUCAUUAUAUAUCAUUUCCCAGCAAGCUUUUACCUCUUUACAUUGCUUUUUGUUAUUCUCACAGGUUUUCCAAAAAGGCUUACCAUGUGGCAAGGGGGGCAGAGUUGCUACACUACCCCGCCGAGUACCUAAACCUAAGCCGUGCAUUUAUACAGAUUGCAGUGUAAAUUUUCUCUCAUGUCUGCCAGUGUGUUCUACCCCUGCAGCUACUCUUAUGAGCAUCGUUGCCGAAAUCUGUCCAUUAAUCACUCCUCGCUGUUUGCUUAUUGUGCUAAAGGUAUAUCCUGCAUUGAACGCUUUGCGGAGAGAAUCAGAAUAGCUUGAAACACUUCACCGACGUAGCCCAUUUGUUCAAUCGCUGAAAACACAGCAUUGAUCAAGAUAUCUACCUGAGAUGCCUUCCUUCUCGAGAUUCACUUUGUUCUUUUCACCUGACACCUGCACAAUCCGUGUAGAGAAGAGAGGCCAACUUCUGCUUGUAUUAUCUGCUUUGCUGCUUUUCACCACACCUCCAAGAUUCAUCAGCUAGAGCCAGACCCUAUUAAAUGGGUGCAAUGGGUCAAACUAGCACCUGAACUUUAAACAGAUAAUUCUGCUACCUGUGCCUGUGAAGUUUUACUGGGAUACCUCAGCUGAUACCCACAAGUUUUGAAGAAAGCCAAGAGUGAUGUGAAAAGCACACUAUAAUGCAAAAACUCCCUUGAAUGCUUCAGGGAGAUAUUGCUUUGUGGUGUGUGUUUACAUCAGGCUUCCUCAACCUCGGCCCUCCAGAUGUUUUGAGACUACAAUGCCCAUCAUCCCUGACCACUGGUCCUGCUAGCUAGGGAUCAUGGGAGUUGUCCAUGGAGGCAGCCAUCUUUCUUCCAUACAAUAUCUUGGAGACAGAUGGGCGGACAAGACAACAUCAUGUCACAUCAUUCCUAGGGGUAUUUAUGGCCCCAUUUUCAAUGCAUGUAGCAUGUUUUUAAAGGCAGCCAUCAGACCACCACGCAACAGUCAACGUGGAAUGAGGGGAUAUGAUAGGAUGGACUUUAAAAUGAUCACAUUUGAUAGUAUGACAAACUAAAAUUAGAUAGAUCUCUAACUCGGGAACGCUGAACUGCUAAAAUGGACGGCAAUUUUGUGAAUCAAAUGUUACAUCUGUUUACCUGAAAAAUUGAUUUG